GACGAACGCUGGCGGCGUGCUUAACACAUGCAAGUCGAACGAAGUGGCGAACGGGUGAGUAAUGCGUAAUCAACCUGCCCUUCAGAGGGGGACAACAGUUGGAAACGACUGCUAAUACCGCAUACUGAUGGAGGGGAUUGCGUCGGAUUAGCUAGUUGGAGGGGUAACGGCCCACCAAGGCGAAGAUCAGUAGGCGGGCUGAGAGGAAGAACAGGCACAAUUGGACUGAGACAAGGCCCAGACGCCUACGGGGGGGAGCAGUGGGGAAUCUUCCGAAAUGGACGAAAGUCUGACGGAGCAACGCCGGGUGAGUGAUGAAGGCCUUCGGGUUGUAAAGCUAUGUUAAUCGGGACGCGGUACCGGAAUAGAAAGCCACGGCUAACUACGUGCCAGCAGCCGCGGUAAUAC
rnacentral:rRNA from 1 species